rnacentral:rRNA from 1 species
GAUGAACGCUGGCGGCGUGCCUAAUACAUGCCAGUCGAGCGAACAGACGAGGAGCUUGCUCCUCUGACGUUAGCGGCGGACGGGUGAGUAACACGUGGAUAACCUACCUAUAAGACUGGGAUAACUUCGGGAAACCGGAGCUAAUACCGGAUAAUAUAUUGAACCGCAUGGUUCAAUAGUGAAAGACGGUUUUGCUGUCACUUAUAGAUGGAUCCGCGCCGCAUUAGCUAGUUGGUAAGGUAACGGCUUACCAAGGCGACGAUGCAUAGCCGACCUGAGAGGGUGAUCGGCCACACUGGAACUGAGACACGGUCCAGACUCCUACGGGAGGCAGCAGUAGGGAAUCUUCCGCAAUGGGCGAAAGCCUGACGGAGCAACGCCGCGUGAGUGAUGAAGGUCUUCGGAUCGUAAAACUCUGUUAUUAGGGAAGAACAAAUGUGUAAGUAACUAUGCACGUCUUGACGGUACCUAAUCAGAAAGCCACGGCUAACUACGUG